GGUUAAGUGACUAAGCGUACAUGGUGGAUGCCUUGGCAGUCAGAGGCGAUGAAGGACGUACUAACCUGCGAUAAGCUGUGAGAAGUCGGUAAGAGACGCUAUUACUCACAGAUUUCCGAAUGGGGAAACCCACCCGAGAUAACUCGGGUAUCUGUUACUGAAUACAUAGGUAACAGAGGCGAACCGGGAGAACUGAAACAUCUAAGUACCCCGAGGAAAAGAAAUCAACCGAGAUUCCCUCAGUAGCGGCGAGCGAACGGGGAUUAGCCCUUAAGCAUCUUGGAAGUUAGUGGAACGGUCCUGGAAAGGCCGGCGAUACAGGGUGAUAGCCCCGUACACGAAAACAACCUUGAUGUGAAAUCGAGUAGGGCGGGACACGUGACAUCCUGUCUGAAUAUGGGGGGACCAUCCUCCAAGGCUAAAUACUCCUGACUGACCGAUAGUGAACCAGUACCGUGAGGGAAAGGCGAAAAGAACCCCUGUGAGGGGAGUGAAAUAGAACCUGAAACCGUGUACGUACAAGCAGUGGGAGCCCUUCGGGGUGACUGCGUACCUUUUGUAUAAUGGGUCAGCGACUUACAUUUUGUAGCGAGGUUAACCGUAUAGGGGAGCCGUAGGGAAACCGAGUCUUAACUGGGCGUCUAGUUGCAAGGUGUAGACCCGAAACCGGGUGAUCUAGCCAUGGGCAGGUUGAAGGUUGAGUAACAUCAACUGGAGGACCGAACCCACUAACGUUGCAAAGUUAGGGGAUGACCUGUGGCUGGGGGUGAAAGGCCAAUCAAACUCGGAGAUAGCUGGUUCUCCCCGAAAGCUAUUUAGGUAGCGCCUCGGACGAAUACUACUGGGGGUAGAGCACUGUUUGGGCUAGGGGGUCAUCCCGACUUACCAACCCCAUGCAAACUCCGAAUACCAGUAAGUAAUAUCCGGGAGACACACGGCGGGUGCUAACGUCCGUCGUGAAGAGGGAAACAACCCAGACCGCCGGCUAAGGUCCCAAAGUUCUGGUUAAGUGGGAAACGAUGUGGGAAGGCUCAGACAGCUAGGAUGUUGGCUUAGAAGCAGCCAUCAUUUAAAGAAAGCGUAAUAGCUCACUAGUCGAGUCGGCCUGCGCGGAAGAUGUAACGGGGCUCAAACCAGGCACCGAAGCCGCGGAUUCACACUUAUGUGUGAGUGGUAGGGGAGCGUUCUGUAAGUCUGCGAAGGUGUAUCGAGAGGUAUGCUGGAGAUAUCAGAAGUGCGAAUGCUGACGUAAGUAACGAUAAAGGGGGUGAAAAGCCUCCUCGCCGGAAGACCAAGGGUUCCUGUCCAACGUUAAUCGGGGCAGGGUGAGUCGACCCCUAAGGUGAGGCCGAAAGGCGUAAUCGAUGGGAAGCAGGUUAAUAUUCCUGCACGACUUGUAAUUGCGAUGGGGGGACGGAGAAGGCUAGGUGGGCCAGGCGACGGUUGUCCUGGUGAAAGUGCGUAGGUGGUGUUUCUAGGCAAAUCCGGAGACACAACACUGAGACACGAGACGAACACACUACGGUGUGGAAGCCAUUGAUGCCCUGCUUCCAGGAAAAGCCUCUAAGCUUCAGAUUACAAGUCAUCGUACCCCAAACCGACACAGGUGGUCGGGUAGAGAAUACCAAGGCGCUUGAGAGAACUCGGGUGAAGGAACUAGGCAAAAUAGUACCGUAACUUCGGGAGAAGGUACGCUCUUGUUGGUGAAGUCCCUUGCGGAUGGAGCUGACGGGAGUCGCAGUGACCAGAUGGCUGGGACUGUUUAUCAAAAACACAGCACUCUGCAAACACGAAAGUGGACGUAUAGGGUGUGACACCUGCCCGGUGCCGGAAGGUUAAUUGAUGGGGUUAGCGCAAGCGAAGCUCUUGAUCGAAGCCCCGGUAAACGGCGGCCGUAACUAUAACGGUCCUAAGGUAGCGAAAUUCCUUGUCGGGUAAGUUCCGACCUGCACGAAUGGUGUAACCAUGGCCAUGCUGUCUCCACCCGAGACUCAGUGAAAUCGAAUUCGCCGUGAAGAUGCGGUGUACCCGCGGCUAGACGGAAAGACCCCGUGAACCUUUACUACAGCUUGGCACUGAACAUUGAACCUACAUGUGUAGGAUAGGUGGGAGGCUUUGAAGGCGUGACGCCAGUUGCGCUGGAGCCGUCCUUGAAAUACCACCCUUGUAUGUUUGAUGUUCUAACGCAGGGCCCUGAAUCGGGCUCGCGGACAGUGCCUGGUGGGUAGUUUGACUGGGGCGGUCUCCUCCCAAAGAGUAACGGAGGAGCACGAAGGUUGGCUAAUCCUGGUCGGACAUCAGGAGGUUAGUGCAAUGGCAUAAGCCAGCUUAACUGCGAGACGGACAGGUCGAGCAGGUACGAAAGUAGGUCAUAGUGAUCCGGUGGUUCUGAAUGGAAGGGCCAUCGCUCAACGGAUAAAAGGUACUCCGGGGAUAACAGGCUGAUACCGCCCAAGAGUUCAUAUCGACGGCGGUGUUUGGCACCUCGAUGUCGGCUCAUCACAUCCUGGGGCUGAAGUCGGUCCCAAGGGUAUGGCUGUUCGCCAUUUAAAGUGGUACGCGAGCUGGGUUCAGAACGUCGUGAGACAGUUCGGUCCCUAUCUGCCGUGGGCGUUGGAUGAUUGAAGGGAGUUGCUCCUAGUACGAGAGGACCGGAGUGAACGAACCUCUGGUGUUCGGGUUGUCACGCCAGUGGCACUGCCCGGUAGCUAAGUUCGGAAUCGAUAACCGCUGAAAGCAUCUAAGCGGGAAGCGAGCCCUGAGAUGAGUCAUCCCUGACCCCUUGAGGGUCCUAAAGGGCCGUUGGAGACCACAACGUUGAUAGGUGGGGUGUGUAAGCGCGGCGACGUGUUGAGCUAACCCAUACUAAUUACCCGUGAGGCUUAACCAU
rnacentral:rRNA from 1 species